UUGUCCCUUCUCUCUCCUGCAAGUGCUGGUGAUCUCCUCGCCAUGCAGUGGGCUCCCCUCCUUGUCCUGCUGGGGACGUGGUGCACAGGUGCCAGAUCACAGUCUGUGCUCACUCAGCCGCCCGCAGAGUCAGUGUCCUUAGGAAACACUGUGAAACUCUCCUGCACCGUGAGCAGUGGGACCAGCAUCAGUGACUACAAUGUGUACUGGUACCAGCAGAAACCUGGGACCCCCCCUCGGUACCUGCUGAGAUACAAGUCCAAUUCUGACAAGCACCAGGGCUCCGGGGUCCCCGCUCGCUUCUCUGGCUCCAAAGACACGUCCAGUAACACUGGGGCUACGCUGCCCAUCACUGGAGUCCAAGCCCAGGAUGAAGCUGUUCAUUACUGCCAAGUGUGGGACAGCAGCACUUUCCACAGUGGACAAACUGCUCACAUCACGUGCAAUGGAGAGAAGCUUAACAAGAAGUAUGAACACUGGUACCAGCAGAAACCUGGCAGCGUCCCCCGACUUCUUAUAUACAAGGAUCAAGAGAGAGCCUCUGAUGUCCCUGACUGA